rnacentral:rRNA from 1 species
AGCGGCGGACGGGUGAGUAAUGCCUGGGAAAUUGCCCUGAUGUGGGGGAUAACCAUUGGAAACGAUGGCUAAUACCGCAUAAUAGCUUCGGCUCAAAGAGGGGGACCUUCGGGCCUCUCGCGUCAGGAUAUGCCCAGGUGGGAUUAGCUAGUUGGUGAGGUAAUGGCUCACCAAGGCGACGAUCUCUAGCUGGUCUGAGAGGAUGAUCAGCCACACUGGAACUGAGACACGGUCCAGACUCCUACGGGAGGCAGCAGUGGGGAAUAUUGCACAAUGGGCGCAAGCCUGAUGCAGCCAUGCCGCGUGUAUGAAGAAGGCCUUCGGGUUGUAAAGUACUUUCAGCAGUGAGGAAGGUGGGUAUGUUAAUAGCAUAUUCAUUUGACAUUAGCUGCAGAAGAAGCACCGGCUAACUCCGUGCCAGCAGCCGCGGUAAUACGGAGGGUGCGAGCGUUAAUCGGAAUUACUGGGCGUAAAGCGCAUGCAGGUGGUUUGUUAAGUCAGAUGUGAAAGCCCGGGGCUCAACCUCGGAAUUGCAUUUGAAACUGGCAAA